rnacentral:rRNA from 1 species
AGUGAACGCUGGCGGUAGGCCUAACACAUGCAAGUCGAACGGCAGCACAGUAAGAGCUUGCUCUUACGGGUGGCGAGUGGCGGACGGGUGAGGAAUACAUCGGAAUCUACUUUUUCGUGGGGGAUAACGUAGGGAAACUUACGCUAAUACCGCAUACGACCUACGGGUGAAAGCAGGGGAUCUUCGGACCUUGCGCGAUUGAAUGAGCCGAUGUCGGAUUAGCUAGUUGGCGGGGUAAAGGCCCACCAAGGCGACGAUCCGUAGCUGGUCUGAGAGGAUGAUCAGCCACACUGGAACUGAAACACGGUCCAGACCCCUAAGGGAGGCAGCAGUGGGGAAUAUUGGACAAUGGGCGCAAGCCUGAUCCAGCCAUACCGCGUGGGUGAAGAAGGCCUUCGGGUUGUAAAGCCCUUUUGUUGGGAAAGAAAAGCAGCAGGUUAAUACCCCGCUGUUCUGACGGUACCCAAAGAAUAAGCACCGGCUAACUUCGUG